UACAGAGGGUGCAAGCGUUGUUCGGAAUUAUUGGGCGUAAAGGGCGCGUAGGCGGUGCGGUAAGUCUGUAGUGAAAUCUCUGGGCUCAACUCAGAGUCUGCUGCAGAAACUGCCGUGCUUGAGUGCGGAAGAGGGGAGCGGAAUUUCCGGUGUAGCGGUGAAAUGCGUAGAUAUCGGAAGGAACACCUGUGGCGAAAGCGGCUCACUGGACCACAACUGACGCUGAUGCACGAAAGCUAGGGGAGCAAACAGG
rnacentral:rRNA from 1 species